rnacentral:lncRNA from 1 species
UUAGAAACAGUGAGGGAGAGCAAAUUCGCGCACCUGAUGUUUGCUUAAACUACCUGCUGGACUGAGACUUUCUGCGAAGCUGGCCUGUCUGCGAGCAGCACUCGCUAAGGCUCUGCGUUUAACAGACACUACAUUUGGGAAGGCGCUUAUCACAAAAAGUCCCUGCCCUUCUCGCGGGCUCGGGGCGCAACCCUGACAAAUCGGGCAGCCUUCUUGAGAGUGCAGAAAUGCUCUGCGUACCCAGCAAAUACAUUCUCUCCUUCCCACCACUCUGUGCAAACCCUCACGCCGCGGCUUUGUGUCUGUACUUUAGCCAAAACGCAGAAGCUUAUGGCCACCCUCCACUCCUCACCCCUCAUCCCUCACCACCUGCCUUUCAAUUCUCGGAACGAGCGACGUGACACAAGAGGUCCCAAGGGAGCAAACCUGAAAGCCAGAGCCUCCUGAAUACACAGACUGCCGGUGGGCCAGAUGACAUUAGACACUCCUGAGAUACGAGAAGCAUCACUUCCUUCAGACAGAGUCGGUGAGACUAUGAUGUAAUGAGAGUUCUCCUUGUGUUCCUCAGGAAGGCAGCUUGUGCCUUUCUACUUGAGGCAUCAUCUUUGAUGGCUAAAGAAUUCUGCAGCUUGGCCAGCGCGGUGGCUUACGCCUGUAAUCCCAACACUUUGGGAGGCCGAAGCGAGAGGAUCACUUGAGGUCAGGAAUUCGAGACCAGCCUGGACAACAUAAUGAGAAAUCGUCUCUACAAAAAAAAAAAAAAAAAAAAAAAAAAAAAAAAAAACCCCCUAAAAAUUAGCUGGAUUUGGUGGCGCAUGUCUGUAGUCCCAGCUACUUGGGAGGCUGAGGUGGGAGAAUCGCUUGAGCGUGGGAGAUCACGGCUGCAGUGAUCAAGCCAUUCCAGUCCAGCCUGGGCGACAGAGCAAGCCCCUGUCUCAAUAAUAAUAACAAUUUUGCAGCCUGAUUGUUAACGAAUGUUACUAGUUACAAACUUGUAAUAAUGUGGUGAAGAUAAUACCUAGUUAAUGUCUGCUGGGGUGGGGCAAUAAGCUUCUAUGUGCUUUACAUGCAUAACCUAAAUAUCUCCCCCAAAAUCCUCUAAAAUAGCUAUCAUUUUCUCCGUUUUUACAAAUGAGCAAAUUUUAAAGCUUAAACCUUAGAGAAACUUUUCUAAGUUCAUAUACUUGGGAAAUAAAGGCAACAAUUUCAUUGGAACAUAGGUCUGUCUAAUUCAUACCUUGUACUUUACGUUUUCUCUUUGAGAAGGCAAUUUAAUACCAGCUAAACUUUAAAAUCUAGUUGAAAGUAAGACCAUGAAAUGCCAAAAUCACAAGGCUUUAAAGGAUG